CCUUUGGCAUUUGAUAAGCAUCCAGAUAAGUCUGAAAAAAUUCCAAAAAAUUAUCCUUAAAAAACUAUAUUUAAAAUGGAACAUUAUCAAAUAAAGGCAUUCCAUUUUAAUCAAGUUUGAUCAGGAGAAGGAUUCUUUAAAAUGAUAGAAAAUAUGAUGCUUUAACGUGUGCAUGCGAGAGGUCCUCCAUUUUCCAAUUUUUUCUCCACCCCAUAUUAAUCUAGAAAAAUCCAUCUCAUGCUUUGAGAUGUGCACCAGAGG
rnacentral:lncRNA from 1 species